rnacentral:lncRNA from 1 species
GGAGAGGAAGUAAUGGGAAACGGUGGGGGAGGAUGGCCAGGAAGUUGCAGAGCACAGGGAGACGGAGGGGGGAAAGACGAGAGCAGAGGGUGAAGAACUCAGGAGAUGUGACCCUGUGCUGUGUGGCCAUCCCCUGCUGAAUGCUCCCCGCUGCCUGCGCCUGGUGCCCUUCCCAGGAAAACGUACACCCAGGGAUGCUCCUUCCCUGUGCAAAUGGGGCAGCUCUUCUGCCUCUUUGCACAGCCCUGGCUGUUUCUCUGGUUGGGACAGGAGCACUUCAGACCCCCCUCUGCAGCUCCCCUCCCUCCAGCCUGCUGGACUGCUGAGAAAUCCUUUCUCCCAGCACUUCUUUUGCUUACUUUCAGGAUGUGUUCAGUCUUGGGAUGCACUCAUCCAUGUAUCUUUCAUGGAUACAUAUCAUGGAUAUCUAUUUGGAUACCCAGACCAUGGGGAUGAGACUUACUUAUAGAGGUGGGAAAAGACCACUGAGAUCAUCUGAUCCAUCCAUCUCAUCUUCAAUUCAUUUUAUUGACAACAACAACGACAAAAUAAUCAUAAGAUACAUAACAUAACACAACAUAAAAAAGUGCCUUUUUUAACCCCAUCCCCCCCCCAAAAACACGUGCAAAUAUGAUUUCUUAUCUAAAGGAAAGAGAUUUUAAUAUAUAACAAUGUAUUUUCAACACAGAUAAAAUGUAAUUUGAACACCUAUACCUAAAGAAGUAACUAUAUAUUCUACCUUAAACACUAUAAAGUAAUAAUGUGAAAACAUUAAUACUGCACAGCAUGAAGGAGCUGUUGGGGCACGGGUGGGUGUUGAAGGGAAGCUCCUCGUGUGGCCGGCGAGGAGCUGCUCUGCAUGGUGGACUACGAGAGCUUCACGAUCUUCGUUGGUACGGUGACCACAUCACAGAUAUUUGCGACAUCAAAGGGGUCGUCCAUUCUGAGGAAGGACCUCUUUCUGCUCCGCUGCACUUCCAGGUGUUUGGUUUUGCUUUGUCGUUUCCCAGAUGGUUUCUCUCUCUCAGCACAUUUCUGCAGAAGGGGGGCAGGUUGGAUCAUCCCCUCUUUGCCAUUGCUCAGCCCAUCAGUCUUGCAGCUCUCUGUGCUCUUCUGCAGUUUGGCAGCCAAACCCGGGGCAGGAGCGCAGCUGGGCUGAGCCUGCUUGCUGCCAUUUGCUGCGGUGGAUGGAAGGCCUUCCCGGGACAGAGACACGGGGAAGUUGGGCAAGGCUUUGCAGCUCUUCUUGGCCUUGUGUGUAAACUCCUCCUGGACUUGGUCCGCAGAUUCCUCAGCCUGGCUGCCAUGGUUGUGCUCUCUCCCAGCACAGUGCUUGCGCUUCCUGUGCAGAGCUGGGCAUGGAAGUGGGCAGAUAUGCUGUGCUGGCCCAUCUGCUGGUCUUUUUUUGGUCGCUGUUGGUGGCUCCAAAAUGGGCAUCAGUGCACUCUGCAUUGCGCACAGCUCCUGG